rnacentral:lncRNA from 1 species
UGGGGCAGUGCAGAGGGGGCCCUGGCCAGCCCUAGUCUGGGGCAUCUGAUGGCAGGACCAACCCUCCCUCACAGGACCCAGCCCUUGUCAGGGCCCAGCCCACACUGGGGUUGGUGCCCGUCUAUCCCUGACAAGGACACUCACAGUGACCUCCUUCGGACAUGUUUUUCUUCUUGCCUGUGGAUCAAUUCCUCCUGGCUCAGACCCCUCCAGGACUCUGGCACUGAUCUCUCUUGGUCUCGGAUUUGAGGAAAUAAAAAUAGAAGAGGAAAAACACAGAACUCUCCAAAGCUUUGGAGUGGCUGCAGCCAUCUGGAUGGAGGCAGCAUGCGCCUGGGCUGGAAGAGCCACGGUCCCUUGACUGAGUCUCGGUGCUUCUCCCCGUCCCUCUCAGACACGGUUCUCAUGGUGGACGAGAUGGGGCCGGAUCUUAGGCCCGGGAUUCUGCAGAAUGCAAGGCUCAGAGCUUGCCUAGCUCUGAGUGGCUUGGAGACUGGUGUGAGGACUGAGGGUGUCCACAGAUCACCAACCCACACCGGCAGCCUGAGUUGGAAGACAGGUCAGACGUCUCGGAAGAGCUGGCUUAUUCGGGAAGCUCCGAGGAACCUUGCCUUGUCCAGCCUUUUGGGCACCCCCACUCUUUAGCUCACAGUCGCUCCCUCCAUCUUCACAGCCAGCACUGAAGCAUUCCCCACUCGCUCUCAUUCAGACCUCUGCUCCCAACAGUCUUGUCAUCUCUCUCUCUGACCGUCUCACGGAAACCCUGUGAUGACAUGGGGCUCACCCACAUAUUUCAGGAUAGUCUGCUCAUCUCAAGAUCCUGAACUCCAUCGCACCUGCAAAGUCUUUUGUGCAAGGUGUGAUAGAAUCAAAAAUAAAUAUUUGGUCCUGCCACAGAGUUUCCAAAACCCUUGGAAUCCCCUCAGCGGGCUGAUGGGAGCAUCGAUUGUCAUUCAGACCAAUCCUCUCCUGACCAUACCUGAGUUUAUGCUAAUUAGGUAACCCUUGAAUGGCCAAUGGAAUCAACCCUCCAGAGCGAAACUCUGUCUCGAAAAAAAAAAAAAAGAAAGAAAGAAAGAAAAAAGAAAUGCUGAUUAGAGGGUUAGAACUUUCAGCCCCACCUCCUGACCCUGGGGAGGGGAGAGAGGCUGAAGGUUGAUCUAAUCACCAAUGGCGAAAGAUUUAAUCAGUCAUGCAUACCCCUCCCUGAAAGAAGGGGUUCAGAGAGCUUCCAGGUUGGUGAAUGCGGGUUGAUUCUGGGACCAGGAAUGCUGUUUCUGCAGACAGCUGCAGGGCUAUUCCCUAGGCUUCUUGAGGUCUUUGUCCAAAGUCACCUUUCUCAGAGUCUUCUGACCCCUGUUGACCCCUGAGUCUCCUCCUGACCAUCUCUUUUCCCCUGUCACUUGCUUUCUCUCCUUAAUACUGAUUGUCACCCAACGAUGGAAUGCCUUACAGAAGACUAGAGAGCAGCAACUUUGUCUAUUUUGGUCACUGUGUGUCCCCAGUUCCCAGCACAGUGUUUGGCACACAGCAGAGCUUAUUUGACAUGUUUUGAUGAAUAAAUGUCAUUGUUGUUAC